GUGAGGAAUUUUCCGCAAUGGGCGAAAGCCUGACGGAGCAAUGCCGCGUGAAGGAUGAAGGCCUAUGGGUUGUAAACUUCUUUUCUCAGAAAAGAAUUAUGACGGUAUCUGAGGAAUAAGCAUCGGCUAACUCUGUGCCAGCAGCCGCGGUAAGACAGAGGAUGCAAGCGUUAUCCGGAAUGAUUGGGCGUAAAGCGUCUGUAGGUUGUUUAAAAAGUAUUCUGUCAAAGAUUAGGGCUUAACCCUAGAUAGGCAGAAUAAACUUUUAAGCUAGAGUUUGGUAGAGGCAGAGGGAAUUCCCGGUGGAGCGGUGAAAUGCGUAGAGAUCGGGAGGAACACCAAAGGCGAAGGCACUCUGCUGGGCCAAUACUAACACUGAGAGACGAAAGCGAGGGGAGCAAAUGGGAUUAGAUACCACGGUAGUCC
rnacentral:rRNA from 1 species